rnacentral:tRNA from 1 species
GUUAGGGUGGCAGAGCCCGGUAAAUGCAUAAAACUUAAGCUUUUACUAUCAGAGGUUCAACUCCUCUCCUUAACA